rnacentral:rRNA from 1 species
UGAGCAAUCUGCCCUUCUCAUCGGAAUAAGCGUUGGAAACGACGUCUAAUGCCGAAUACGACCUCCUUUCGCAUGAUCGGAGGUGGAAAGCUCCGGCGGAGAAGGAUGAGCUCGCGGCCUAUCAGCUAGUUGGUGUGGGUAAUGGCCCACAAGGCGACGACGGGUAGCCGGCCUGGAGAGGGUGACCGGCCACACUGGGACUGAGACACGGCCCAGACCUCCUACGGGAGCAG